rnacentral:rRNA from 1 species
GAUGAACGCUGACAGAAUGCUUAACACAUGCAAGUCGACUUGAAUUUGGGUUUUUACCUUAGGUUUUGGUGGCGGACGGGUGAGUAACGCGUAAAGAACUUGCCUCACAGCUAGGGACAACAUUUGUAAACGAAUGCUAAUACCUAAUAUUAUGAUAAUAGGGCAUCCUAUAAUUAUGAAAGCUAUAAGCGCUGUGAGAGAGCUUUGCGUCCCAUUAGCUAGUUGGAGAGGUAACGGCUCACCAAGGCGAUGAUGGGUAGCCGGCCUGAGAGGGUGAUCGGCCACAAGGGGACUGAGACACGGCCCUUACUCCUACGGGAGGCAGCAGUGGGGAAUAUGGGAGAAUGGACCGAGAGUCUGAUCCAGCAAUUCUGUGUGCACGAUGAAGUUUUUCGGAAUGUAAAGUGCUUUCAGUUGGGAAGAAACAAAUGACGGUACCAACAGAAGAAGUGACGGCUAAAUACGUG